AUCUUUUUGCAGUUCACAAGGGUGAUGACUGGGUUUUCAUGUGUCUGUAUGAGAUGUGCCUCCCUCAAAUCUUGUUACAAUGUCAGCAUGGUAAGCAUCUGACA